rnacentral:rRNA from 1 species
GGUGAACGCUAGCGAUAGGCUUAACACAUGCAAGUCGAGGGGCAUCACAUGAGAAGCAAUACGAUGGUGGCGACCGGCGCACGGGUGAGUAACACGUAUGCAACCUGCCCAUAACUGGGGAAUAACCCGUCGAACGGCGGACUAAUACCGCAUAAAAAGGAUUGUCUGCAUGGACGAUUAUUUAAAGAUUUAUCGGUUAUGGAUGGGCAUGCGUUCCAUUAGAUAGUUGGUAGGGUAACGGCCUACCAAGUCUACGAUGGAUAGGGGUUCUGAGAGGAAGGUCCCCCACACUGGUACUGAGACACGGUCCAGACUCCUACGGGAGGCAGCAGUGAGGAAUAUUGGUCAAUGGUCGAGAGGCUGAACCAGCCAAAUCGCGUGAAGGAUGAAGGUAUUAUGUAUUGUAAACUUCUUUUGUCAGGGAAUAAAGUGCAUCACGUGUGAUGUUUUGUAUGUACCUGAAGAAUAAGGAUCGGCUAACUCCGUGCCAGCAGCCGCCGUAACAC